rnacentral:rRNA from 1 species
AUUGAACGCUGGCGGAAUGCUUUACACAUGCAAGUCGAACGGCAGCACGGACUUCGGUCUGGUGGCGAGUGGCGAACGGGUGAGUAAUGUAUCGGAACGUGCCCAGUCGUGGGGGAUAACGUAGUGAAAAUUACGCUAAUACCGCAUACGAUCUAUGGAUGAAAGCGGGGGAUCGCAAGACCUCGCGCGAUUGGAGCGGCCGAGAUCAGAUUAGGUAGUUGGUGGGGUAAAGGCUCACCAAGCCAACGAUCUGUAGCUGGUCUGAGAGGACGACCAGCCACACUGGAACUGAGACACGGUCCAGACUCCUACGGGAGGCAGCAGUGGGGAAUUUUGGACAAUGGGCGAAAGCCUGACCCAGCCAUUCCGCGUGCAGGAUGAAGGCCCUCGGGUUGUAAACUGCCUUUGUACAGAACGAAAAGGUUUCUACUAAUACUAGGAGCUCAUGACGGUACUGUAAGAAUAAGCACCGGCUAACUACGUGCCAGCCGCCGCCGUAA